CCACCACCAAAGCAUUCUCUGGUGUUGAAGGCCCUGCAAAGCAGCAUCGCGGUGGCGGAGCGUCGUUUGCGACGCCCAACACACAAAACAAGCGGUGAGUGCUUUGGGGUGGGGUGACUGCGUACCUUUUGUAUAAUGGGUCAGCGACUUAUAUUCUGUAGCAAGGUUAACCGUAUAGGGGAGCCGAAGGGAAACCGAGUCUUAACUGGGCGUUAAGUUGCAGGGUAUAGACCCGAAACCCGGUGAUCUAGCCAUGGGCAGGUUGAAGGUUGGGUAACACUAACUGGAGGACCGAACCGACUAAUGUUGAAAAAUUAGCGGAUGACUUGUGGCUGGGGGUGAAAGGCCAAUCAAACCGGGAGAUAGCUGGUUCUCCCCGAAAGCUAUUUAGGUAGCGCCUCGUGAACUCAUCUUCGGGGGUAGAGCACUGUUUCGGCUAGGGGGGCAUCCCGACUUACCAACCCGAUGCAAACUGCGAAUACCGAAGAAUGUUAUCACGGGAGACACACGGCGGGUGCUAACGUCCGUCGUGAAGAGGGAAACAACCCAGACCGCCAGCUAAGGUCCCAAAGUCACAGUUAAGUGGGAAACGAUGUGGGAAGGCUCAGACAGCCAGGAUGUUGGCUUAGAAGCAGCCAUCAUUUAAAGAAAGCGUAAUAGCUCACUGGUCGAGUCGGCCUGCGCGGAAGAUGUAACGGGGCUAAACUGUGCACCGAAGCUGCGGCAGCGACGCUUAUGCGUUGUUGGGUAGGGGAGCGUUCUGUAAGCCUGCGAAGGUGUCCUGUGAGGGAUGCUGGAGGUAUCAGAAGUGCGAAUGCUGACAUAAGUAACGAUAA
rnacentral:rRNA from 1 species